rnacentral:rRNA from 1 species
CCCUUAGAUGUCCUGGGCCGCACGCGCGCUACACUGAGUGUCUGAGAUACGAGUCUGCCUGGUCCGGCAAGGUCUAGGUAAUCGCUAAAAGACACAUCAUGCUUGGGAUAGAUUAUUGCAAAUAUUAAUCUUGAACGAGGGAUUCCCAGUAAGCGCAAGUCAACAGCUUGCGUUGAUUACGUCCCUGCCCUUUGUACACACCGCCCGUCGCUACUACUGAUUGGAUGUUUAAGCGAGGUUCUCGAACUGCUAGCGACUUAGCUUCGGUGAGGUCGCAGUGUGGGAAGUGAACCUAGCUUUGGUGUCUAGAGGAAGUAAAAGUCGUAACA